CUACAAACUUACUGCUAUGCACAUUUUCAGAUGAAAAUGAUGACCAGGAUUUUGAGCACUGGGAUGAUGUAGGUUUGAACACAAGCCGACCACCAAACCUGGUACAGAUGUUGCGAGAAGGUGGUCAUUCUGUUGCAGAUCUCGUAUCGUGUGCUUGUCAGACAGAUGGAUCAACUGAUAUUUCUCAAGAAAUCAGACAAUAUCAGAUUGAAGUUGAAAGGUUGCAGAAGGAACUAGAAGUUAGAAAGGAUAUUGUAGCUUCACAGUCAAAGUAAGGAUACUGUUAAAAAAAAAAAAAAA